rnacentral:lncRNA from 1 species
GAAGAGAGGAGCAAGCAUAUAUAUAUGGCACUCCAGGAAGAUGAAGCUUGCUUUGCUGUGACUAAAGAGAACUUUGUAUGCAGCUGUAGUCUGGGAGGUCUGAUGUUAGGGAAAAAGAAGGAGGAAAGCAAGAUUAAAAAUCAUUCCUGGAAAUGCAAGAGAAAAUGUGCUGGAGUGGUGCUGUUAGUACCAGGGACACUGGACAAGAAAGAUAAGCAAGCCACUGCUGUCUGAUUCCUACAUAGCAGGUUAAAGUGUUGGAUUCAUAAUUCUCACUUCAGGAAGACUGAAAACCAGACUUUAUUCUGCUAGAUCCCAAGAUAUCAAGGAAGAGGAAAAGGGAAGAGCCCCAGGCACUAUUAAACCACAGCUACAAUCACUGCCAUUUGAAACUUCCCACCAAACAACUUUACUAUUCUGAUUUAAUUUCAACUCCCAGGGAGAGUUAGUAUUAAGAGGAAGUACCUAUCAUCCAUGAUAAUCCACCAGCUCUGGGGGUUUAGAAGGGAAAGGAUGGAGGUCUCAGUGCUUGAGGCUAGGCUGACAGCUGAGCAGGGCUCCAGCUCACCUUAAUCUCACUCCUGUGGAUGCCUGCACUAGGGGCCUGAGCAUUCUCCCAGAUCUCUGCAUAGGAGGCUGCCCUUAGGCAUUAUUAAGGUGUGAAAGCAGCAAGAAAGAGCAGAAUUAAACUGCUUUUCUCUAAUGUAUCCUUUUACAGCCCAGUGUAUUUUGCCCUAGGCUAGCCUUUUCUUCUCCUUUCACCCUCCACAUGCCAGUCCGAGACAGCCUUUCUUCUCACAGGAAUUAUUGUAUUAUUUCUUAAAUUCUUUUUUUCUUCUCCAUGGCUUUUCUAGAGGAAACCUAACAGUGUGGGUUUAUCAAUCAUUUUGACAAGACUCUGAAUUCCACUGAACAGAUUUUUGAAUAAAAAUUAUGAACAAAGAAAGUGUAGUAAAUCUGCUAAUAGAAAAACUGACUAUGCCUUGUGGGAAAAUUUUUGUGUGUGUGACAUUCCAUCGUGUACCUGCCAGA